CGGGUUUUGAUUUGUCGACGUGAAAGAAAGGGUGAAGGACAAACCGAUGUUAUUACUAAGGUGGGCGAUGGGUUGCUUUCUCCCCCGAUUUCUAGGGUACGUAUGUCCAAAGUAUUGGUUCCUUUGUGUAUUGAGUCGAUUUUGUUUUUCAAGUGUCAGUUGGGUCCAAUUUCUUUCUAGGGUACCGUUCGAUUGGGAUAUGGGAGCAGCACAAGCGAUGAAGAGUAUCUCCUUCCUAAUUGCAUUACCGUUGUCGGUGUUCUCUAGGUAGUUCCUUUUUUAUCAUUACGCCAAGCUUUAAACGAUUCAUUGAUUGAUAAUGUCAACAAAAUUUAUGUUUUCGUUGUUUCAUGUAGAAUGCAUUUCACAAGUUCAUCGGUC
rnacentral:lncRNA from 1 species